ensembl:lncRNA
CCAGAAGGAAGAUCACGGGCAGCCUGAUACUGAUCCGAGAUGCCAUCUGUUAUGCUUGAGACAGAAACAUGCGGCUUGUAGUCCUAAAUUUAGAUUUUGAUCGCGCCUCGCACCAGUACCUCUUCAAGGUACUGGGAGUACACUGCGACGUCUAUCAGGGCUGUCCGUUAUCUCCUCUUCCGUUUGUGGCCUGCAUCAAACCACUGGCACAGGUCUUGAGAAGGGACCAACGGAUCAGUGGGGAGCGGGAACCAGUGUGUCCAGUGCACGGGCUCGCUACAGGCGAGCCCACAGCGGUUUGGUGCAACGUGGCCCAUCCAGCUCUGCUGAACCGUCAACGGGACUUGUCCUGCAUUGUCACCCACGAGAUCCUCCAGGUCAGGGCCGUUAUGCAGUCCCGGGGCAUGGUGAGGACACCCGACCAGGCUGCGGCCAAGAGGAGUCGGUGAGGCACUUGCUCUGGGAGUGCAGAGCUGCCAGGGGCCUGUAGAAAGAAGCACUGUGGUCCUCUCACAACCUGCUGGUAGCAAAACGAUUCAUGUCCACCCCCCAGGCAGUGGCCAUGGUAGCCACGGUAAACCUGGGGUGGUACAGAAGGGGGCCUCAACCCAAGGCGAAGGGUUCCCCACAACACCCAAGGACCCGGCCUGACAGCGCUGCAGCGCCUAGUGGAUGGAUCUCCUCUGGGCCCCGAAGGACAGACCGGUUAUUGAAUUCGGAAUAGCACUUUUUUAAACAAAGUUUGUUUUUAAACAUGUUUUACUUUUGUUAAAUUUUGUACACAAUUGAAAUGGCUUUUACAGAUUUGGAUGUUUUACAAGAAAAAAUACAUUUAUUCAUGGUUGUUUCUAUUGUUUUUAACAGACUAACAAUUGAAAUGUAAUAUUCAAAUGCUGUUUUUACGUGUAUAAAUGUUGUACAAAUAUAAAUGAGCUGUUUUAAAAGGGACGUCACGUCACUUAAAUAAUAGUAAUAUUAAUAAUCUGUCCUGUGUGUAUUUUCUAUGACAGUUGCUGCAUUUGAUCGGAGAGGCGAUCAUAGGCCGGAGUUAUUUUGUUAAGUGUAUUAUUGUUCUGU